UACGAAGGGGGCUAGCGUUGCUCGGAAUCACUGGGCGUAAAGGGUGCGUAGGCGGGUCUUUAAGUCAGGGGUGAAAUCCUGGAGCUCAACUCCAGAACUGCCUUCGAUACUGGAAAGCUCGAGUCCGGGAGAGGUGAGUGGAACUGCGAGUGUAGAGGUGAAAUUCGUAGAUAUUAGGAAGAACACCGGUGGCGAAGGCGGCCCACUGGAUCGGUACUGACGCUGAGGUGCGAAAGCGUGGGGAGCAAACAGG
rnacentral:rRNA from 1 species